AGAUACUCUGACCCCAUUACAGAGAAAUGCUCUUUUCUGGACAAAAUUCUUGGUUCUUUUGUUUUCUUGCAAGUCAUUCAAGGAGGGAUCACCAUUGCUGAAAUACCUAGCAUUUAAGUAGGAACCAGGUCUUCCAUUGAUUUGAUCAUACCUUUAUAAACCAAGGUUCCUGGAGUGCUUGGUACACAAAAAAGCACUCAGGCCCACUGAAUAUAAGUAACUAGUAAUUUGAGUUGGGUCAUAUGGUU